rfam:Sistotremastrum suecicum HHB10207 ss-3 unplaced genomic scaffold SISSTscaffold_66, whole genome shotgun sequence.
UGCCUGGUGGCGCAAUUGGUUAGCGCGUUCGACUGUUAAUCGAGAGGUUGUGAGUUCGAGUCUCACCCGGGCAG